AGUGAACGCUGGCGGCAGGCCUAACACAUGCAAGUCGAGCGGCAGCGGGUCCCCNCGAGGGGAGUGCCGGCGAGCGGCGGACGGGUGAGGAACACAUCGGAAUCUGCCUGGUUGUGGGGGAUAACGUAGGGAAACUUACGCUAAUACCGCAUGCGACCCUGAGUCGACGGACUUGGGGGUGAAAGUGAGGGACCUUCGGGCCUCACGCGACCAGAUGAGCCGAUGUCGGANAGUCUAGUUGGCGGGGUAACGGCCCGCCAAGGCGACGAUCCGUAGCUGGUCUGAGAGGAUGAUCAGCCACACUGGGACUGAGAC
rnacentral:rRNA from 1 species